GGAUUGUGGCUCAGUGGUAGAGUGCUCACCUAGCACAGGAGGGACCAGGGUUUGAUCCUCAGCACCA
rnacentral:tRNA from 1 species